rnacentral:rRNA from 1 species
AUUAAACGCUGGCGGCAUGCCUUACACAUGCAAGUCGAACGGCAGCACGGGGGCAACCCUGGUGGCGAGUGGCGAACGGGUGAGUAAAGCAUCGGAACGUGCCCUGGAGUGGGGGGAUAACGUAACGAAAGUUACGCUAAUACCGCAUAUUCUGUGAGCAGGAAAGCAGGGGACCGCAAGACCUUGCGCUCUGGGAGCGGCCGAUGUCGGAUUAGCUAGUUGGUGGGGUAAAGGCCUACAAGGCGACGAUCCGUAGCGGGUCUGAGAGGAUGAUCCGCCACACUGGGACUGAGACACGGCCCAGACUCCUACGGGAGGCAGCAGUGGGGAAUUUUUGGACAAUGGGCGAAAGCCUGAUCCAGCCAUGCCGCGUGAGUGAAGAAGGCCUCGGUGUAAG